CAUUUAUUUUCAUUAGGAUAAAUAAAUUAUUUUUAAAAAUAGUUUUAAAUAAAAUCUUGUAACUAAAUAUAUACUUGGUAUUAGAUUACUUAGGUGUUUUACAUACUUGCAUGCAAAUUUUUCAAAAAACAGAAUUUCAGCGAAAGCAUAGAUUAAGCAAUUUAAUCUAAUGCAUCUUAGAUCUAAUCUAAAGCAUAAAACAUCUGGAUAUAGUUCUUAUGCAUGAAAUAAAAUCACAUAUAUCAGAUCUGAAAAGUAAAAAUCAGAAGAAAAAAUUGGUUAUCUGAACCGCUAUCCUUCUCCUUCC
rnacentral:lncRNA from 1 species